GACGAACGCUGGCGGCGUGCUUAACACAUGCAAGUCGAACGGAAAGGCCCUGCUUUUGUGGGGUGCUCGAGUGGCGAACGGGUGAGUAACACGUGAGUAACCUGCCCUUGACUUUGGGAUAACUUCAGGAAACUGGGGCUAAUACCGGAUAGGAGCUCCUGCUGCAUGGUGGGGGUUGGAAAGUUUCGGCGGUUGGGGAUGGACUCGCGGCUUAUCAGCUUGUUGGUGGGGUAGUGGCUUACCAAGGCUUUGACGGGUAGCCGGCCUGAGAGGGUGACCGGCCACAUUGGGACUGAGAUCCGGCCCAGACUCCUACGGGAGCCAGCAGUGGGGAAUAUUGCACAAUGGGCGGAAGCCUGAUGCAGCAACGCCGCGUGCGGGAUGACGGCCUUCGGGUUGUAAACCGCUUUCGCCUGUGACGAAGCGUGAGUGACGGUAAUGGGUAAAGAAGCACCGGCUAACUACGUG
rnacentral:rRNA from 1 species